rnacentral:tRNA from 1 species
GGGGUCGUGGUGUAGCCUGGUAAACACGCCGGCCUGUCAAGCCGGAGAGCGCCAGUUCAAAUCUGGUCGGCCCCG